CCUUUCACUCGGCUCUCAUUGUUCUUUCUUGCUGCCUUGUGAAGAAAGAUGUGUUUGCUUCCCCUUCCACCAUGAUUGUAAGUUUCCUGAUGCCUCCCCAGCGCUGCAGAACUCCUGGCUGCUGCACUACAUGAUUACGGCCCCAGAGGAAAACCUGCAGGCCUGCUUCCCUCGAGUCUGAGAGGUGUGCAUCACUUCCCUGCCAGCACAGAAACCACUGCAAAUGCACAGAUGGAAAACUCACACUUAAGGACUGGAGUGACAGCAGCAGCAGCAGCAGCAGCAGCAGCAGCAGCAGCAGGCCACCUCCGCAUCCAGAAUCCUGGCACAGCCUCCUCAUUCCUGUCUGAUGAUAUUCUCCAUAUCCAGAGAGGAUUUGUAUUUAAAGCUGGACUUUAAAAUGUACAGUUGUAAAAUGUACAACUGAAUGUUGUCACUUCAAACACCAUAAAUAUA
rnacentral:lncRNA from 1 species